rnacentral:sRNA from 1 species
UUACUUUGCCUCCGCAGUAUACACGUACAUCCAAAGCCGGUUCUACCGAUCCCCAGAAGUGAUCCUGGGCCACCCCUACGACAUGGCCAUUGACAUGUGGAGCCUGGGGUGCAUCAUGGCAGAGUUGUACACGGGCUACCCCCUGUUUCCUGGGGAGAAUGAGGUGGAGCAGCUGGCCUGCAUCAUGGAGAUUCCAAAGGUUUUCCUAAAAAUAUAACCAACAACAGGGGGAACAAAAGAUACCCAGAUUCCAAGGACCUCACGAUGGUGCUGAAAACCUAUGACAGCAGCUUCCUGGACUUUCUCAGAAGGUGUUUGGUAUGGGAACCUUCUCUUCGCAUGACCCCGGACCAGGCCCUCAAGCAUGCUUGGAUUCAUCAGUCUCAGAACCUCAAGCCACAGCCCAGGCCCCAGACCCUAAGGAAAUCCAAUUCCUUUUUCUCCUCUGAGACAAGGAAGAACAAGGUUCAAGGCUGUCAUCACUCGAGGAAAAAAGAUGAGAUCACCAAAGAGACUACAGAGAAAACAAAAGAUGGCCCCAUGAAGCAUGUUCAGCAUUCAGGUGAUCAGCAGGACUCUCUCCAGCUCGGAGCUGACACUGUUCAGCUGCCUCAACUGGUAGAAGCUCCCAAGAAGUCAGAGGCAGCUGUUGGGGCGGAGGUGUCCGUGACCUCCCCAGGACAAAGCAAAAACUUCUCCCUCAAGAACACAAACAUUUUACCCCCUAUUGUAUGACCUUUGCUGAGGGUAUGUCCUGCUCCUUUCCACCAGUGAUUUGUAUUAAGACAGCACUUAUAUUGUACAAUACUUCAGACUGUUUUUUUUUAAAUACAUAAAAGUUUAUUUUAAAAAACUC